UACGGGGGGGGCAAGCGUUGUUCGGAAUUACUGGGCGUAAAGGGCUCGCAGGCGGCCGACUAAGUCAGAUGUGAAAUCCCUUGGCUCAAUCAAGGAAUGGCGUCUGAUACUGGACGGCUUGAAUCCGGGAGAGGGAUGUGGAAUUCCCGGUGUAGCGGUGAAAUGCGCAGAUAUCGGGAGGAACACCGGUGGCGAAGGCGGUUCUCUGGGCCUUACCUGACGCUGAGGAGCGAAAGCGUGGGGAGCGAACAGG
rnacentral:rRNA from 1 species